rnacentral:tRNA from 1 species
CGGAGCAUAGCGCAGCCCGGUAGCGCGUCUGGUUUGGGACCAGAAAGUCGUGGGUUCGAAUCCCACUGCUCCGACCA